CGGGUGAGUAUACCAUCGAUAAUGUACCUCUUAGUUCGGGAUAGCCACUGGAAACGGUGAUUAAUACCGGAUACUCCUUCUUAUUAUAAGAUAAGUCGGGAAAGUUUUUUCGCUAAGAGAUCAGUCUAUGUCCCAUCAGUUUGUUGGUGAGGUAAUGGCUCACCAAGACUAUGACGGGUAUCUGGUUUGAGAGGAUGAUCAGACACACUGGAACUGAGACACGGUCCAGACUCCUACGGGAGGCAGCAGUGAGGAAUAUUGCACAAUGGAGGAAACUCUGAUGCAGCAACGCCGCGUGGAGGAUGACGCAUUUCGGUGUGUAAACUCCUUUUAAGAGGGAAGAUAAUGACGGUACCUCUUGAAUAAGCACCGGCUAACUCCGUGCCAGCAGCCGCGGUAAUACGGAGGGUGCAAGCGUUACUCGGAAUCACUGGGCGUAAAGGGUGCGUAGGCUGGCUUCUAAGUCAGAUGUGAAAUCCAAUGGCUCAACCAUUGAACUGCAUUUGAAACUGGGAGCCUAGAGUUCAGAAGGGGCAGAUGGAAUUAGUGGUGUAGGGGUAAAAUCCGUAGAUAUCACUAGGAAUAUCAAAAGCGAAGGCGAUCUGCUGGGAUGAUACUGACGCUGAGGCCGAAAGCGUGGGGAGCAAACAGGAUUAUACCCUGGUAGUCCACGCCCUAAACGAUGAAUGCUAGUCGUCGGGGAGCUCGUCUCUUCGGUGAUGCACUUAACAGAUUAAGCAUUCCGC
rnacentral:rRNA from 1 species